UGGGCCCGACGAUAUGGAUGGGCAUGCGGAACAUUAGCUAGUUGGCGAGGUAACGGCUCACCAAGGCUACGAUGUUUAGGGGAUCUGAGAGGAUGACCCCCCACACUGGGACUGAGACACGGCCCAGACUCCUACGGGAGGCAGCAGUCGGGAAUUUUGCUCAAUGGACGAAAGUCUGAAGCAGCAACGCCGCGUGAGGGAUGAAGGCCUUCGGGUUGUAAACCUCUUUUAUCAGGGACGAUAAUGACGGUACCUGAUGAAUAAGUCACGGCUAACUACGUGCCAGCAGCCGCGGUAAUA
rnacentral:rRNA from 1 species